AUGACUUCAUGUCAUGUGUUACUCUUCUUACCCUAUCAUGUAAAGAAAUCAAAAUGUCAGACAAACAUAAAUAAAAAUAUGAGAAAAAUUAUAAGACUCACACAAGUAUGACAUACCAAUAAAUUAAAUGCUUUCUUUCAAAAAAUAAUAAUUUAAAUGCUUGAAAUGAAGAAAAACAUUUUUUAACUUAACUGUUAAAUGCAGUAACAUUCAAUAUAAAUACACCUCACAACAUCAGGAGAGGAACAAAAUUUUUCUGGACAAUCAGUGUCUUUGUUGCAACCUCGAAAAGCUUCACCGUUGGUUAGAACAAAAAACAAUGCAAGAAAGAGGACCAUAACAUAAAUA
rnacentral:lncRNA from 1 species